rnacentral:rRNA from 1 species
UGCAUGGCCGUCGUCAGUUCGUACUGUGAAGCAUCCUGUUAAGUCAGGCAACGAGCGAGACCCACGCCCACAGUUGCCAGCGUACUCUCUGGAGUGACGGGUACACUGUGGGACCGCCGCUGCUAAGCGGAGGAAGGAAUGGGCAACGGUAGGUCAGUAUGCCCCGAAUAUCCCGGGCUACACGCGAGCUACAAUGGUUGGUACAAUGGGUAUCUACCCCGAAAGGGGACGGGAAUCUCCUAAAACCAAUCUUAGUUCGGAUUGAGGGCUGCAACUCGCCCUCAUGAAGCUGGAAUCCGUAGUAAUCGCGUUUCAACAGAACGCGGUGAAUACGUCCCUGCUCCUU